ACAGCUAUUUACAAACAAAUACUGAUAGAUGAUGAUUGAAUAGUGAAAAACCCUUUGAUAAUUUCAAAAUUUUAGUGAAUUUUAACUUUUAAAUACAUUGAACAUUUCAAUAUGCGAAGAUUCAUAGACCAGUUUGUUCGAUCAUUUUUAAAAGAAGCCUCAAAAGCAAAACCAAAGCCACAGAAUAAGAGUAAAUCCAGUGGUGUUUCAACGCCACAAAAAUCACCAAUAAAAACUGAAAUUUCGUCCACUAACCUGUAUGACGAGUUACAAGAAACUGAUCAUUCAAGACAAUCUUUAGAUUUGAGAAAAACAUACAGAUUACUAAUGGAUCGAUUGGCUAGUCCAAAACUGAAUAUGACGUCAUACACAAAAGCCCUGAGUGACAUAAACAUUUUAGAUUCAAAAGUUAAAGAGAAACCUUUAGAGCCUAAUAAGUUACCCUUUGAGAAUC